GACGAACGCUGGCGGCGUGCUUAACACAUGCAAGUCGAACGGAAAGGCCCUGCUUUUGUGGGGUGCUCGAGUGGCGAACGGGUGAGUAACACGUGAGUAACCUGCCCUUGACUUUGGGAUAACUUCAGGAAACUGGGGCUAAUACCGGAUAGGAGCUCCUGCUGCAUGUUGGGGGUUGGAAAGUUUCGGCGGUGGGGGAUGGACUCGCGGCUUAUCAGCUUGUUGGUGGGGUAGUGGCUUACCAAGGCUUUGACGGGUAGCCGGCCUGAGAGGGUGACCGGCCACAUUGGGACUGAGAUACGGCCCAGACGCCUACGGGAGGCAGCAGGGGGGAAUAUUGCACAAUGGGCGGAAGCCUGAUGCAGCAACGCCGCGUGCGGGAUGACGGCCUUCGGGUUGUAAACCGCUUUCGCCUGUGACGAAGCGUGAGUGACGGUAAUGGGUAAAGAAGCACCGGCUAACUACGUG
rnacentral:rRNA from 1 species